AACCUUGUGCAGUGGCAAUAUCGCAAGCAAUGAAGUCCUAACUGAGCUGCGAUUAUUGCUAGUUGAAAACUUUAACCAAUAACUCGCCUAGUGUUAGGAUCUCUGAUCUUAUACGCUGAGGCAAUUUUUCUAAAGUCCGAAAGGAC